rnacentral:misc_RNA from 1 species
GAUGAAGAACGGCAGUGAAAUGCGAUAAGUAAUGUGAAUUGCAGAAUUCAGUGAAUCAUCGAAUCUUUGAACGCACCUUGCGCUCGUCGGUAUUCCGACGAGCAUGCCUGUUUGAGUCUCAUGAAUCUCUCAAACCUCGAAAGUUUGCGCUUUCGAUGGCUUUGGACUUGGAGGUCUAUGCCGGCGCGAGUCGGCUCCUCUCUAAAUGCAUUAGCUCGGAUCAUACGUGUCGAUCUGCGGUGUGAUAAACGUCUACGUCGCGGCAUUUGACACCUCGCUUUUUUGCGAGCUGGUCUGGCUUCUAAUCGCCUUCGGGCAACACAUCUGACAUCUGAGCUCAAAUCAGGUAGGACUACCCGCUGAACCUAAGCAUAUCAAUAAGCGGAGGA